rnacentral:lncRNA from 1 species
AAGAAAGGUGUGACAUCCUUGCUGGCUUCAAUGUGAAGAGCCACCCUGAUUCUGGGAUUCUGAUAGGAAUAAGGUAGAUGAUGCAUAUCUGAACCUGGAAACCGCUUCCCACUGUAGAGCGUGUCUGAGUCAUGUCCCUUAGCUUCAGCAGAGCAGAUCCAGCAGGCUCUGAGCUUGACCUCUUUGCCUGAAGCGAGACCUCUAGGUAACGUCUCCAGGGAGGGUGGCACAAAGGAUCCUGGAUCUCCUGAUCACAGCAGCCCAAGAGUGCCGUGUGUGCACCAUGGCUCAAGAAGACUUAAAAAGGGGAAAGUAUGACUAUUUCUAAUCUGUAGUAUUUCAGUAUUUUUAAUGUUUCGGUAAUCUGUAUGAAAAAGAAUUUGCAAUAAAUAGAAUAAUUUGCCUAAAAUUGAAUCUAUUUCACCAAUAAAAUUGGCUUUUAAUCAAGUGAUAAAUCCUGUAAAAUAGAUAAUAAAUGCAGUACCAACAUAGUUUGAUUCUAGUACACUGAGAUAAUCUUGAAUACGUUAAGAAAGUCUUGUUUGUAUAGAAGAGUUUCAAAUCAUGUGAGUGAUGAAGGGACCCUUCUGUUGAACCUUGGUGUGCAUUUUAGGUCCAUUUUGGGUUUACUCCUUUGUGCUGCUUCAUGAUGCCUUAGGACAAGGACAAGGCCUAGGCCUCCUUGUCUCAGUUCCCUCCUGCUCUCUCUGUUGCCCUCCUCCUUCCACCUGGAGCAUGGCCCAGCAUCAGGUUGGCGCAUGCUGUGAUCAGCUACCUCCAUGUACCACACCAAGCAAAGCUCUCUGGGUGACACAGUUGCCACCACCAGGGCACUGACCCUUACUCUGUGUUCUCCUAGCUCCUCCUGAGGGUGCUGUAGGAGACAUCUGCAAAAAAGAAGAUGCUGGCAAUAUGCCAUCAACCUCAGAGGGGAGUAUUUACCUUGAAAUGGCUCACUUCCUGAGGAACAAACUUGCUGGAUCUAGUGUACGGAAACCUGAUUCUGGGUUCCUUUGGGAAGGAGCAUUACGGGCCUGCUCCUGGACCACCUCAUAUCACCAGCACCCUCUACCCAAGGUCCUGGAGCCAACACUGGAGUAAAAGAGCACAAGAGAACUCCUUAGAGGUGGAAGGAUACCCUCUGAGGUCAAAUCAUUGGGCUUGUGGCCAUGAGACCACAGACUUUGCCUGGCUUCCAGUGACUGUCCGAGAUGACCUGUGGAGUGCACCGCCUGUACUUGGACAUCACUGUCUUUUCGGAUCCAUACCCGUCAUCCUUGGAAUUUCCCCUGCAUCCAAACCUGUUCCUGAUACAGGUGUGAGUAAUGAAUAACCCUAAGGAAUAUCUUGGAUGUCUUCACGGGGCUUAUGACUUAUUCUGAGGUUUACAAAAUAGAGGCCCCCAGCUGAGCAAAGAGAGGGCUGCAGCGCCGAGGGAACAGCUGCCGGACUCACCGGAGAGGCCUCCUGGAGCACGCCGGGACCCCCUCCACCCCCUGGCUUUGGCUGCAUCAAUGGCUAGUUUGCCUGAACUAUAUCUGAGCCACUGAGAGUAUUUAUUAAGCAGAGAAUAAUUUUGAGUUUCACUUUUAUAACUUUUGUUUCAAAAGUUGUUUUGGAUAAUUUAAUGAAAUGACUGUAAACCAGAAUUCCCCUUUUCAUUAUUUCUUUGUGUCAAUAUAAAAAGAGUUGAUGAUUUUAAAAGCCAGUGAGAUGUCCCUGUCUGUGGAUGUCAGCGGGAGGGUGGGGUCUGACGCCUUUCUCUGGUGGCUGUCCAGGAAGAUUGCCCCAGCUUGCACUCCCUUUUGGCGGGUUCCAGAGCCUUCCAUUUGAAAGGAGCAUCUCUCACCACUCUGCCCCACCCAGCACCAGCUCUUCUGGAACCCACUGACUUCCUAAACACUUUCUUCCUCCUUCACCUCAUUGAAUUCAAGACUUUAGAAAACAGCCAAAAACUCUAGAGGUGGGGGUGGGUUCGAUCUGGAAAUCCCUGCUGUAAUCUUUUUAAGGGAAUCCACUGGAAAUUAUUAAUUUAUGUUUUAAAUAAAACCAUUCCUUACUUAACAGAAUAUUAAGCCACUCAUUUUUUUAACAGAACUUUCGAGAUAUAAUUAAAAUGCCAUAAAUUUCACCCCCACACAGUGUACAAUUCCAAGGUUUCCAAUAUAGUCACAGAAGUCUCUGCAACAAUUACCACAAUUUUAGACAUGAAGACCAUUUGUUGGCAGCCCUACCUGCCUCUAUGUGUAUGUAUAUAAUUUUAAUAUUGGAUUGGAUACUAUAGUAAUAUUGUACUGUUACCUAUUUGUGUUUUUAUAUUGCUGUUUUAUUUUAUUCAGAUGAAUAAUAAUUAUCUCCAUAUAGUCAUACAUUUAUAUAGGGUUAAACACACCUUUUUACAAUUCAAUAAAUUAAAUUGGUCAGGUAUGGUGGCUCACGCCUGUAAUCCCAGCACUUUGGGAGGCCAAGGCGGGUGGAUCACCUGAGGUUGGGAGUUUGAGACCAGCGUGAUCAACAUGGAGAAACCCUGUCUGUACUAAAAAUACAAAAAAUUAGCCAGGCAUGGUGGCACAUGCCUGUAAUCCCAGCUACUUGGGAGGCUGAGGCAGGAGAAUCACUCGAACCAAGGAGGCGGACAUUGCGGUGAGCCAGGAUCGCACCAUUGCACUCCAGCCUGGGCAACAAGAGCAAAACUCCAUCUCAAGAAGAAAAAAAAAAAAAAAGUAAAUUGUUUUUAAUUACAUAAGAAACACGUGUUAUUGUUAUAGAAAUUCACAUAGUGCUUCGGUCUAUAGAAUAAAUGUAUCCCCACCACCUCCCAGCCCACCCACUCGUCUGCAUUCACCUACACACAGUUAAACAUGCACAUAUGUUUCCGUGACACGAUCUUGCUUUGCAUAUUGUUCACUGACUGGCUUUUCCAUAUAAGAUUUAAUUUGGUGAUUAUUGCUUAUCAGUACCUAUAGGUCUCUCUCAUUAUUAUUUAUAAUUACAUCAUUAUUCCAUAGGGUAUUUUACCACAAUUUGGUCACUUUUUCACUGAGGAAUUUUUAUGUCAGUUUCAGUUAUUUGUUAUUGUUACCAAUGCUGUACUGGGCAUCCCUGUAUAUCCACCUUUUUGUUGCAUUAGUUAAGUGGUUUUUUCCUUUUAUGAUUGAUUUCUAAAAAUAAAAUACUGCAGCAAA